CUCGCUCUCUCUCCUCUCUCUGUGCGCCUGUUUCUCUCUUCCCGCAUCUGGAAGAUGACUAGGAAGAAAAAUAAAAGUACCCCGGUGACAUCAAUGAAAAUCCUCAAAGAGGAACCGACCUCAGUUCCAACUUUCAGUUGUUUUAGCAAAGUAAAUCCUCCAAGGUACAACAUGCUUCCAACCGAGACAGAUCUUCAUCUUCCAAAAAGAGAAGGUACAUCCGUUGCUUACGAACUAGAACUUGCUAGUGAAGAACUUGUUGUCAACGCUUUAGUGGAGUGCGAAUCCCAGCCGCCGAACGUGAUUGCCCAUCUCGCUCCUCUCAAGC